GGCAUGGGUUCAGUGGGUUCAUUCCCUGGCCCAGGAACUCCCACAUGCUGUGGGCACAGCCAACCCCCCUCCAAACAAAAAACAAACAAAAAGUGUAAAACCAUUUCUUAGUUCUCAGGCCAUACAAACAGUGGCCACAAGAGGGCUUUCAUUUGCUUAUCCAUGAUUUAGAGCACAGACAACAGACCCAUACCGCCUGGGUUAGUAAUUCUGGCUCUGAUAUUUACUAGCUGUGAAAAGUUACUUAACCUCUGUGCCUCCAUUUUCACAACUCUACAAUGGGAACACUACCAAACCUAGCUCAUAGUGUUGUUGUGAGAGCUAAAUAUGUAAAUUUAUAGAAAGAAUUUAGAGGAACUUAGAAUGGUGCCUGACACAGAGUAAGCACAAUAAAAGUUUGCUAUUAUUAUUUGUGAGUUUAUCAUCAGGCAGUAACACGUGGACCCGCAAAUGGCAGAAACCUUGUCCUUCUCAUUCACCUGGCUCAAUGAAGAAUCAUAUGCUAAAUAGAUGAGCACACCUAGACCUCCUACAGGAAGACAAGGUCCCACCAAGCAAAUGAUGAGUGGAGCCAGAGCCAGGCCCAACGUGCCUUUAUUUCUUUCAGUUAUGCUUGCGGCUGGGGUGAGUGAAGAGCCCAUGGCCCGGGCUCCCCGGAGACCAGGGCUGAUGAUACCAGCUGCCGUAGGUUAGGUACCAGGCAAAGGUGCCCACUGCGGCACCCACCACCUUGUGGGUAUACUGGUGGAAAUAGAUGACCGUACAGAGCAGCAAGAAGUUCCAGAGGCCCAGCAACAGCACGUUGAGCAGAAAGACGAGGCGCAGGGGCGCACCGGCGGGCAGCCCAUGGGCCAGGUACUUGGCGAACACGGCUGCUUCCUCGGCCAUGAGCAGGCAGCAGAAGGUGAGCAGGAAGGUGUGGGAGGAGACGGUGUAGCCUCGCCACUGGUGGCCGGCCGCCAGGCAGCUGCGGCGGUCUGGCAGCUCGUGGAGCAGCAGGCCCUGGGGCAGAGGCUCGAAGCAGGAGCCGGUCAGGUCCUCAAUGAGCAGGAAGGCCCGUCCGGCCCCUCGCCACACGGCGGCCCCCACCACCAGCCGGCUCAGGUGCCUCGCUGUCACUGCCACGCGCCGUGUAGCCAGGAACACCACCAGCAACACGAAGCCCCCCAGGAAGGUGCACGUCCAGCCCCAUGCCGAAUUCACAAACUUUCUGUGGGCAGAGAAGAGGGAGAGCUCCUGAGGUCCCUGAGCCCCAUCUCCCCACCCUGCUCUGUUUCCAUUACAGCUUUGUCUCCAGUCCCACCCAUCAUCCCUGGGUCUCUGUCUCCUGUGCUCUCCAGCCACCAACUGCAU